GACGAACGCUGGCGGCGUGCUUAACACAUGCAAGUCGAACGGAAAGGCCCUGCUUUUGUGGGGUGCUCGAGUGGCGAACGGGUGAGUAACACGUGAGUAACCUGCCCUUGACUUUGGGAUAACUUCAGGAAACUGGGGCUAAUACCGGAUAGGAGCUCCUGCUGCAUGGUGGGGGUUGGAAAGUUUCGGCGGUUGGGGAUGGACUCGCGGCUUAUCAGCUUGUUGGUGGGGUAGUAGCUUACCAAGGCUUUGACGGGUAGCCGGCCUGAGAGGGUGACCGGCCACAUUGGGACUGAGAUACGGCCCAGACUCCUACGGGAGGCAGCAGUGGGGAAUAUUGCACAAUGGGCGGAAGCCUGAUGCAGCGACGCCGCGUGCGGGAUGACGGCCUUCGGGUUGUAAACCGCUUUCGCCUGUGACGAAGCGUGAGUGACGGUAAUGGGUAAAGAAGCACCGGCUAACUACGUG
rnacentral:rRNA from 1 species